rnacentral:lncRNA from 1 species
CUGCGGCUGCGGCCGCGCCGGGGGAACGUGAGGGAAAACACCCGGCUCCGGCGGUGCUGAACCCCGGAUCGCCUGAAACGCGUGUGCGAUCCGCGCGGAAACCGCCACUUCCCCCCAGAUCGCAUCCUCCCGUCGUGAAAUUUGGGCUCAGCCCCCCCCCCUCCCCCCCACGCGGGGUUUGGGGCUGUAAAGUUCCCGUUAGAAAUCGUGUCUUUAUGGUAGGAAGGCGGCUGUCGCUGGCCGCGAACCUGCCCCCGUGACUGACACGCUGGUACUGAUUUGGGUUUGAUCGAAUUGACUUUACACUGAUUUUAUUUGGCGUGCUGCAAAUGGCAUUGAGGCCGUGGUGCAGUCCGUGGCGAAGGCCACUCGGAACGCUUGAAAUGGGCAAGUUUGGAAAAUAAUGUCGUUGCUAUACCUUUUUAAUACUUUUAAUUCCCCCCUUCCACUCCUUUUUCUGCAGUCUUAAGCAUGGGAACUUUUACUUUCAAAAAACAUACGUAUCCUUUCUCUGGGUUCCUCUUUCAGUGGACGCCAAAUCCGGAGCAGCACGAGGUGAAGCGAGAGGGGUUGUUCUCAGUGCAGUUCCAGUCCCUUAGCACUGCAAAGGUGCUCUCCAGUUCUUCCUCGCUGGGAACACCAGUCAAAAGGAACCAGAGGAGUACGUUCCAAAGCAAUGGAAGUUGCCGUGUGUGUUGUGAGUAUUUCUGUUGCAGCACUAUGCCACUUCACAGCAAGAAGAUYAAACAGUUUUCGCCGAAGUGAUGGGAAUGAGGAUGUGGGUGUGCAAGGCGAGCAGUGUAGCAAUGCUAUGAAUGGUACAGCAGAGUACAGGCUGUUCACCGCUUUACCCAGGGAUUCUGGAGGAACUACGUGUAAGAAGACAGAAGAAAAAAGCGCUGGCUCUCUCUGGCGAUUUUCGGGUGYGAAUGACUGCGACGCGCAGAGCCGUUCCUGCCCCAGCAGCGAUGGGCUGUUUGCAGAGGGCCGUCCUGCUCUCUCCUGCACGCGCUCUUCAGACGGCAAUUCGUGGCCUUUCCGGGAAAAGGAUUUGCAGAGAUCAGAGGCCACAGCGCUGGCUUAAGCAUCUUCAAAGUCUAAAAGCACAACGCGUAAAGGCCCGGUUGGUGAUGCCCUUUGAAACGGUCAUCGAAAGCGUUCUGAGAAGAAUCACAACACCAGUAAGUGUCAUAUUUAUUAACAAGUAAAUGUUUACUUAGGAAGGUAGUGCUCAUAAGGAAUUCCCGUUGUCGUCCUUUAAAUCCUCCUGUCCCGUGCUGAGCCCCAGGUCCUCGUACGACGUUUUGGGUCCCCCUGCCCACGCAACGGGCAUUGCCUCCCAGGC